rnacentral:rRNA from 1 species
AGCAGCCGCGGUAAUUCCAGCUCCAAUAGCGUAUAUUAAAGUUGUUGCAGUUAAAAAGCUCGUAGUUGAAUUUCGGAAUCAAUGGAUCGGUCAUGCCACUCGGUGUGUACUGGUUUGAUUGGUUCUCACCUUCUAAGGAACCGUGAUGUCAUUAAUUUGGUGUCGCGGGGAAUUAGGACUGUUACUUUGAAAAAAUUAGAGUGUUUAAAGCAAGCUCACGCUUGAAUACAUUAGCAUGGAAUAAUGAAAUAGGACAUUGUAUUCUAUUUUGUUGGUUUCUAGGAUCGAUGUAAUGAUUAACAGGGAUAGUUGGGGGCAUUAGUAUUCAAUUGUCAGAGGUGAAAUUCUUGGAUUUAUUGAAGACUAACUACUGCGAAAGCAUUUGCCAAGGAUGUUUUCAUUAAUCAAGAACGAAAGUUAGGGGAUCGAAGACGAUCAGAUACCGUCGUAGUCUUAACCAUAAACUAUGCCGACUAGGGAUCGGAUGAUGUAAUUUUUAAUGA